rnacentral:rRNA from 1 species
CCCUAUGGGGUGCAAAGGCGUUACGGUGUAUGUCACCGGUUCCCGCGAAAAAGUCGUCCUGGAGACCAAGGCCACCAUGGACGCCAAGGCCAGGCCUGCUGCCUCCACCAAGGAAGACUUCAGUGUACCUGGCGAAACAGCCGUGGGUCAGCUUACUUUCUGGAAAGACUCCAAAAAGCCGCGCCCACGCAUUCUCCAUGGUUACACCUACUCCAUUGCGACCCCGUUGGGUAAGGCCUUCAUCACCAUCAACGAAAACGGUGGCAGUCAACCUGUUGAAGUAUUCAUCAACACCGCCAAGGCCGGCUCUGAAACGGCCUCCCAUUCCGAGGCUAUCGGCCGUCUUAUCUCCUACUUGUUGCGCAUCAGUUCCCCGAUUGAACCGCGCGAACGCCUCAAAAACGUGAUGGAGCAAUGGGCGGGAGGGC